rnacentral:rRNA from 1 species
AAUGAACGUUGGCGGCGUGGAUUAGGCAUGCAAGUCGUGCGAGAACUUGUUGAUUGAAGCUUCGGCCGAUUUCUUCAAGGGAAAGCGGCGAAAGGGAGAGUAACGCGUGGAUACCUACCCCCGAAUCCGGGAUAGCGUCGGGAAACUGGCGGUAAUACCGGAUAAUGUCUCCGGACUAAAGGUGUGAUUCCGUUUGGGGAUGGGUCCGCGUCCUAUUAGCUUGUUGGUGGGGUAACGGCCUACCAAGGCAAAGAUGGGUAGCGGGCGUGAGAGCGUGGCCCGUCUCACUGGGACUGAGACACUGCCCAGACACCUACGGGUGGCUGCAGUCGAGAAUCUUCGGCAAUGGGCGCAAGCCUGACCGAGCGACGCCGCGUGCGGGAUGAAGGCCUUCGGGUUGUAAACCGCUGUCAGAAGGGAGGAAAUCCAUAGGGGCACUCUCCUAUGGUUGACCGAUCUUCAGAGGAAGUACGGGCUAAGUUCGUGCCAGCCGCCGCCGUAACAC